AAUGAACGCUGGCGGCGUGCUUUACACAUGCAAGUCGAGCGAGGCCGGGUAGCAAUACCCGAGUCGAGCGGCGCACGGGUGAGUAACGCGUGGAUGAUCUGCCUUUGGGUGGGGGAUAACCCGGGGAAACUCGGGCUAAUACCGCAUAAAACCGCGAGGUCAAAGGGGGCCGCAAGGCUCGCGCCGAAAGAGGAGUCCGCGUCCGAUUAGCUAGUUGGCAGGGUAAUGGCCUACCAAGGCGACGAUCGGUAGCCGGCCUGAGAGGGUGAUCGGCCACACUGGAACUGAGACACGGUCCAGACUCCUACGGGAGGCAGCAGUGGGGAAUUUUGCGCAAUGGGCGAAAGCCUGACGCAGCAACGCCGCGUGGAGGAUGAAGGUCUUCGGAUUGUAAACUCCUGUCAGUGGGGAAAAAGGGGAACGGGCUCAUACCCCGUUUCAUUGAUUGUACCCGCAGAGGAAGCCCCGGCUAACUCUGUGCCAGCAGCCGCAGUAAAAC
rnacentral:rRNA from 1 species